GACGAACGCUGGCGGCGUGCAUAAUACAUGCAAGUAGGACGCAGUUGCGAACGGGUGAGUAACGCGUAGGUAACUACCUAUUAGAGGGGGAUAACUAUUGGAAACGAUAGCUAAUACCGCAUACUAGUAGAUGGACCUGCGUUGUAUUAGCUAGUAGGUAGGGUAAUGGCCUACCUCGGCAACGAUACAUAGCCGACCCGGGAUGGUGGUGGGACAGACUGGGGCUUGGAAACGGACCAGGCUCCGUCGGGGAGCAGAGGUAGGGAAUCGUCGGCAAGGGGGGGAACCCUGACCGAGCAACGCCGCGUGGGUGAAGAAGGUUUGCGGGUCGUAAAGCUCUGUUGUGAAGGAAGCGGUACGUAACCAGAAAGGGACGUCGAACUACGUGCCAGCAGCCGCGGUAAUUC
rnacentral:rRNA from 1 species